CCCUUAGAUGUUCUGGGCCACACGCGCGUUACACUGAUGAAGCCAGCGAGUAUAUCGCCUUCACCGGAAGGUGCGGGUAAUCUUGUGAAACUUCAUCGUGCUGGGGAUAGACCAUUGCAAUUAUUGGUCUUGAACGAGGAAUUCCUAGUAAGCAUGAGUCAUCAACUCGUGCUGAUUACGUCCCUGCCCUUUGUACACACCGCCCGUCGCUACUACCGAUUGAAUGGUUUAGUGAGAUCUCGGGAUUGGAGACGCUGCGCCGCAAGGCACAUCGUCCUCGAGAACUUGAUCAAACUUGAUCAUUUAGAGGAAGUAAAAGUCGUAACA
rnacentral:rRNA from 1 species